rnacentral:rRNA from 1 species
UACGAAGGGGGCUAGCGUUGCUCGGAAUCACUGGGCGUAAAGGGUGCGUAGGCGGGUUUUUAAGUCAGGGGUGAAAUCCUGGAGCUCAACUCCAGAACUGCCUUUGAUACUGAAGAUCUUGAGUCCGGGAGAGGUGAGUGGAACUGCGAGUGUAGAGGUGAAAUUCGUAGAUAUUCGCAAGAACACCAGUGGCGAAGGCGGCUCACUGGCCCGUAACUGACGCUGAGGUGCGAAAGCGUGGGGAGCAAACAGG